GGCCAGCAUCAGUUUUGGUGGCAGGAUAAAUCCGUAGGAAUGUAACUUGCUUCGGUGAAGUAUUAUAGCCUUAGUGGGAAUACUGCCAACUGGGAAUGAGGACUGCGACGUAAGUCAAGGAUGCUGGCAUAAU
rnacentral:rRNA from 1 species